CUAUUCAUAUACCAGAUCAGAUCUAAAAUUAUAGCAUGGAUCUUGAUACGAACAUGUACCCAUGAUCUGAUAUCUGAAAUAGAAAAAUAAACUAUUAAAAAAAUAAAAUAAAGAUCGAAUCUCCAUACCUUGGAUCCUGCAGAUGUCCCGGGUACUAAUCAUAGCCACACACGUGCCCGACCUCUAUUGGUAUCCAUACGAAGUCACCUGAUUGGAGCACCG
rnacentral:lncRNA from 1 species